rnacentral:rRNA from 1 species
AGCUCUGUAAGCGUAUACCAAAGUUGUUGCAGUUAAAACGCUCGUAGUCGGAGGUUGGCGGGCGACCUGGGGCGUCUUCACGGACGGAUCCAGGGCGGCCGCCUUUGUGGAGGGGGGCCCGGUGGAGCUUCACUGCGUCACCGUGGUCGCUGCCACCGUUUACUGUGAAAAAAUUAGAGUGUUCAAAGCGGGCGUUUGCCAUGAAUACAUUAGCAUGGAAUAAUAGAAUAGGACCUGUCUCCUGUUUUGUUGGUUUGUGAGGAACGGGUAAUGAUUAAGAGGGACGGUUGGGGGCAUUUGUAUUCCGGCGUCAGAGGUGAAAUUCUUGGAUUGGCGGAAGACAAACAGCUGCGAAAGCGUCUGCCAAGGACGUUUUCA